UCAGGGAGGCAGGUAGCCUAGUGGUUAGAGAGCCAGAACAACACAAUGAUUCAGGGAGGCAGGUAGCCUAGUGGUUAGAGAGCCAGAACAACACAAUGAUUCAGGGAGGCAGGUAGCCUAGUGGUUAGAGAGCCAGAACAACACAAUGAUUCAGGGAGGCAGGUAGCCUAGUGGUUAGAGAGCCAGAACAACACAAUGAUUCAGGGAGGCAGGUAGCCUAGUGGUUAGAGAGCCAGAACAACACAAUGAUUCAGGGAGGCAGGUAGCCUAGUGGUUAGAGAGCCAGCACAACACAAUGAUUCAGGGAGGCAGGUAGCCUAGUGGUUAGAGAGCCAGCACAACACAAUGAUUCAGGGAGGCAGGUAGCCUAGUGGUUAGAGAGCCAGCACAACACAAUGAUUCAGGGAGGCAGGUAGCCUAGUGGUUAGAGAGCCAGAACAACACAAUGAUUCAGGGAGGCAGGUAGCCUAGUGGUUAGAGAGCCAGAACAACACAAUGAUUCAGGGAGGCAGGUAGCCUAGUGGUUAGAGAGCCAGAACAACACAAUGAUUCAGGGAGGCAGGUAGCCUAGUGGUUAGAGAGCCAGCACAACACAAUGAUUCAGGGAGGCAGGUAGCCUAGUGGUUAGAGAGCCAGAACAACACAAUGAUUCAGGGAGGCAGGUAGCCUAGUGGUUAGAGAGCCAGAACAACACAAUGAUUCAGGGAGGCAGGUAGCCUAGUGGUUAGAGAGCCAGCACAACACAAUGAUUCAGGGAGGCAGGUAGCCUAGUGGUUAGAGAGCCAGAACAACACAAUGAUUCAGGGAGGCAGGUAGCCUAGUGGUUAGAGAGCCAGAACAACACAAUGAUUCAGGG